rnacentral:rRNA from 1 species
GACGAACGCUGGCGGCGUGCCUAAUACAUGCAAGUAGAACGCUGAAGAGAGGAGCUUGCUCUUCUUGGAUGAGUUGCGAACGGGUGAGUAACGCGUAGGUAACCUGCCUUGUAGCGGGGGAUAACUAUUGGAAACGAUAGCUAAUACCGCAUAACAAUGGAUGACACAUGUCAUUUAUUUGAAAGGGGCAAUUGCUCCACUACAAGAUGGACCUGCGUUGUAUUAGCUAGUAGGUGAGGUAACGGCUCACCUAGGCGACGAUACAUAGCCGACCUGAGAGGGUGAUCGGCCACACUGGGACUGAGACACGGCCCAGACUCCUACGGGAGGCAGCAGUAGGGAAUCUUCGGCAAUGGGGGCAACCCUGACCGAGCAACGCCGCGUGAGUGAAGAAGGUUUUCGGAUCGUAAAGCUCUGUUGUAAGUCAAGAACGAGUGUGAGAGUGGAAAGUUCACACUGUGACGGUAGCUUACCAGAAAGGGACGGCUAACUAC